AUGAAAUGUAAUUUUAAAAGUAUUUCAGGCGAGAAUGUAGUUGUUUAAAACUCAAAUCUGUUGUUUAUUUAUAAAGACAGCGCCUAUUUAAAAAUGUGUUUCGCCGAUCUCUGAGACGGUGAGCUCCACUCGAUCAGCGGGAGCUCAGUCCUCAUGUAUCCGCAGAGAGCAGCCUCUCCUGGGAUAGACCUUCUGAUAUGUGCCGCUGGCUCUGAUGUGUCUUUAGUGGUUAAACAUAACAUAUAAUUCAGCUGCGGGGUAAAUCUAACAGGUUUUCUUUGGUCUGUAUUCAAUUUAUCUAUAUGUUAAAAUGAAAAUAAAAAAGGCGAAUUUAUAUAAUA